GUGUGUGUGUGUGUGUGUGUGUGUGUGUGUGUGUGUGUCUCAUGAUGAUUUGUGUAUACGUGGAGAUCCUAGCCUCCCUCCAGGAGCCCAAGAAGAUCGGCCUGAAGGGAGGUGAUGGGAGGAGCUACACUGUGAUGUGUAAACCUAAAGAUGACCUCCGGAAAGACUGUCGCCUCAUAGAGUUCAACUGCCUCAUCAACAAGUGCCUGCGUAAGGAUGCAGAGUCCAGGAGGAGGGAGCUCCAUAUCCGUACAUAUACUGUGAUCCCACUGAAUGAGGAGUGUGGCAUCAACGAGUGGGUCAACAACACUGGAGGUCUCCGACACAUUCUGAACAAACUCUACUAGGAGAGAGGUAUCCUGAUGGCAGGUAAAGAGUUGAGGAAGUUCAUUCUUCCUAAGACUGCAUCGUUUGAGGAGAAGCUAGGGACACGUCCACUACCUGAUACAGGAGGCUACCGACAAACUUCUGUGUCAGAUGUACCUGGGCUGGGGACCUUACCUGUGAUACACACGGCUUCUCUGAGACACUGUUUACAAUGUUCAAUAUUUGACUUGUUCUGUUAUCAAUGAAAUGCUCUUCCUUUUUCAUGUUUUUGUAA